CGGACAACCGACCUUCGGUCACUAUUUUUCCAAGGUUGACCUCGGAUCAGGUAGGGAUACCCGCUGAACUUAA
rnacentral:rRNA from 1 species